ACUCCUGCGGGAGGCAGCAGUGGGGAAUAUUGGACAAUGGGCGCAAGCCUGAUCCAGCCAUGCCGCGUGAGUGAUGAAGGCCCUAGGGUUGUAAAGCUCUUUCACCGGUGAAGAUAAUGACGGUAACCGGAGAAGAAGCCCCGGCUAACUUCGUGCCAGCAGCCGCGGUAAUACGAAGGGGGCUAGGGUUGUUCGGAUUUACUGGGCGUAAAGCGCACGUAGGCGGACUAUUAAGUCAGGGGUGAAAUCCCGGGGCUCAACCCCGGAACUGCCUUUGAUACUGGUAGUCUUGAGUUCGAGAGAGGUGAGUGGAAUUCCGAGUGUAGAGGUGAAAUUCUUAGAUAUUCGGAGGAACACCAGUGGCGAAGGCGGCUCACUGGCUCGAUACUGACGCUGAGGUGCGAAAGCGUGGGGAGCAAACAGGAUUAGAAACCCGAGUAGUCCCAUGA
rnacentral:rRNA from 1 species